rnacentral:rRNA from 1 species
UGAGGAAUAUUGGUCAAUGGUCGGGAGACUGAACCAGCCAAGCCGCGUGAGGGAUGAAGGUACAGAGUAUCGUAAACCUCUUUUGUCAGGGAACAAAAGGCGCCACGCGUGGCGCUCCGAGUGUACCUGAAGAAAAGCAUCGGCUAACUCCGUGCCAGCAGCCGCGGUAAUACGGAGGAUGCGAGCGUUAUCCGAAUUUAUUGGGUUUAAAGGGUGCGUAGGCGGCGAGUUAAGUCAGCGGUAAAAGCCCGGGGCUCAACCCCGGCCCGCCGUUGAAACUGGCUUGCUUGAGUUGGAGAGAAGUAGGCGGAAUGCGCGGUGUAGCGGUGAAAUGCUUAGAUAUCGCGCAGAACUCCGAUUGCGAAGGCAGCCUACCGGCUCCAGACUGACGCUGAGGCACGAAAGCGUGGGUAUCGAACAGGAUUAGAUACC